CUAACUUCUCUCUAUGUAACGCUAUGUCCGAUUUUCAUUUUGAUUAUUAAUUAUCCCAUAAAAUCAACAAUAACUCUUUCGUAAAUCAAGCUUAUUGCAAGAAAUCAGGAGCACAAUUUUGACUGAGAUCUUCUAUCGUCUUCCUAUGUAUAAGACGAUGUGCUCUCUAGGGUUUUUUAUUGUGAUUGCUACUGCUCUCCAAAAUCCUAAUCGAUCAUCUAUCCACAACCUCGAUAGAUCCAAACGGAGAUGAUGAAGCUGAAGCGUGAACCGAUGAUUCCGUUACUUACAUAAGGUUUACUUUUUGUGGAACUAUGCCCGGACCUCACUUUUGGUUUUACUUAUGGUUGGAAGACAUCGAUAACACACAGGCCAGAAAUCUACAAGUCGCCAAAGUAAGAGGCUUUUUUGCAAGGCUUAAGAGAUGAAAAGUGAAUCAAUACAAGAUGGCUUGUGGUGUUUCUUAUUGUGUAAUGUUUUAAUUGAAACUCAGUAUGGUGUUUUUUUUUGGUCUAUUGUUUCUAUGCAUGUCCUGGUUCAUUUUACUAAGAUAAUCGUAACAAACAUCGAAAUAUUGGCUUCACCAUAGCCUCUGGACUUGGAGGAAGUGUGUUAAUCAA